CGGGUUGUAAACCCCUCUCAGUUGGGACGAAGCUUCGCCGAUGAAUAGUCGGCUGGAGUGACGGUACCUUCACAAGAAGCACCGGCUAACUACGUGC
rnacentral:rRNA from 1 species